AACGAACGCUGGCGGCAUGCCUAACACAUGCAAGUCGAACGAGACCUUCGGGUCUAGUGGCGCACGGGUGCGUAACGCGUGGGAACCUGCCCUUAGGCUCGGAAUAACUCCCCGAAAGGGGUGCUAAUACCGGAUAAUGUCUUCGGACCAAAGAUUUAUCGCCUUUGGAUGGGCCCGCGUUGGAUUAGCUAGUUGGUAGGGUAAAAGCCUACCAAGGCGAUGAUCCAUAGCUGGUCUGAGAGGAUGAUCAGCCACACUGGGACUGAGACACGGCCCAGACUCCUACGGGAGGCAGCAGUGGGGAAUAUUGGACAAUGGGCGAAAGCCUGAUCCAGCAAUGCCGCGUGAGUGAUGAAGGCCUUAGGGUUGUAAAGCUCUUUUACCCGGGAUGAUAAUGACAGUACCGGGAGAAUAAGCUCCGGCUAACUCCGUG
rnacentral:rRNA from 1 species